rnacentral:misc_RNA from 1 species
AUCUCACUGAUUUCAUCUUAAUCAAUGCAAGACUCCGUUCUUUACUAGAAGAAGCAGGAUCUGUGAGUUAUAUACAUAUGUUGUUUGGAGGGAAUGUAAACAAAGCUCAGACAUACAGAUAAAAAUGAGUCGUCGAGCGAGUUUGUUCGCCAAGCAAAAUCCUGAAAAGGCUGGACCAAAAGUACGAUUCCCCGAUGAACUGGUGUUUCUGGACAAUAUUAAGGAAAAUGACAUCCCGGCCUUGAGUGGUAUGCUCAGAAGAGCAAGUCUUCAGGUGGAUAUUAGUGGAAUCAACGAUGCAGGUUUGACCCCGCUCCACCAGGCAACUCAUGGACGCCCCUCCACGCCGCAUGCGCAGAGGGUCACGCCGGUAUCAUAAGGUUGCUUCUACAGCAUGGUGCAGACAAAAAUAUUCUGACAGAGGAUAAGGAACGGCCCAUAGAUUUAAUAGAACCUACAGACUUUGAGGCAGUGAGCGCCAUAUUGUCUCCCUUAGCAAACCAGGACCAGUGUUGUGAUGGAAACAGUGGAGAUGAAUCAGACGAUGAAGAGAAAUGAAAUUCUCGUUAGACAUUUUGACGAACAUUUUUUUUAUUUAUCAUUAUUAGAUAAUCAUCUAUUCAUUCUUAUCAUUAUGUUUGAUUUGAUAUAAUUUUCUAUACAAAAGAUGUUAUAUAUACAAUCAAAAUACAAUGUAGUUCUUUUUUCGUUUUCAUUAUUUUUUGUCGUGAAUAAAAGAGCAGCUAUUAAAUAUGUAUGUAACA